rnacentral:rRNA from 1 species
UAAUACGUAGGGUGCAAGCAUUGUCCGGAUUUAUUGGGCGUAAAGAGCUCGUAGGCGGCCUGACGCGUCGGAUGUGAAAACACGCAACUUAACUGCGUGCCUGCAUUCGAUACGGUCAAGCUAGAGGAUGGCAGGGGAAACUGGAAUUCCUGGUGUAGCGGUGGAAUGCGCAGAUAUCAGGAGGAACACCGGUGGCGAAGGCGGGUUUCUGGGCCAUUACUGACGCUGAGGAGCGAAAGCGUGGGGAGCGAACAGG